GUGGUUAGUUAUGAUGCAGGGUGGUUAGUUAUGAUGCAGGGUGGUUAGUUAUGAUGCAGGGUGGUUAGUUAUGGUGCAGGGUGGUUAGUUAUGAUGCAGGGUGGUUAGUUAUGAUGCAGGGUGGUUAGUUAUGAUGCAGGGUGGUUAGUUAUGAUGCAGGGUGGUUAGUUAUGAUGCAGGGUAGUUAGUUAUGAUGCAGGGUGGUUAGUUAUGAUGCAGGGUGGUUAGUUAUGAUGCAGGGUGGUUAGUUAUGAUGCAGGGUGGUUAGUUAUGAUGCAGGGUGGUUAGUUAUGAUGCAGGGUGGUUAGUUAUGAUGCAGGGUGGUUAGUUAUGAUGCAGGGUGGUUAGUUAUGAUGCAGGGUGGUUAGUUAUGAUGCAGGGUGGUUAGUUAUGAUGCAGGGUGGUUAGUUAUAAUGCAGGGUGGUUAGUUAUGAUGCAGGGUGGUUAGUUAUGAUGCAGGGUGGUUAGUUAUGAUGCAGGGUGGUUAGUUAUGAUGCAGGGUGGUUAGUUAUGAUGCAGGGUGGUUAGUUAUGAUGCAGGGUGGUUAGUUAUGAUGCAGGGUGGUUAGUUAUGAUGCAGGGUGGUUAGUUAUGAUGCAGGGUGGUUAGUUAUGGUGCAGGGUGGUUAGUUAUGAUGCAGGGUGGUUAGUUAUGAUGCAGGGUGGUUAGUUAUGAUGCAGGGUGGUUAGUUAUGAUGCAGGGUGGUUAGUUAUGGUGCAGGGUGGUUAGUUAUGAUGCAGGGUGGUUAGUUAUGAUGCAGGGUGGUUAGUUAUGAUGCAGGGUGGUUAGUUAUGAUGCAGGGUGGUUAGUUAUGAUGCAGGGUGGUUAGUUAUGAUGCAGGGUGGUUAGUUAUGAUGCAGGGUGGUUAGUUAUGAUGCAGGGUAGUUAGUUAUGAUGCAGGGUGGUUAGUUAUGAUGCAGGGUGGUUAGUUAUGAUGCAGGGUGGUUAGUUAUGAUGCAGGGGGGUUAGUUAUAAUGCAGGGUGGUCAUUUAUAAUGCAGGGUGGUUAGUUAUCUGCACUGAAGUCUAACAAGACAUCCCCCACAAUCAUUUUCUCAUCAAUUCCUCUCAGCCAAUCAUCAGUCAUUUGUGCUGUGCUUGUUGAAUGUCUUCUUCCACACUGACUU